rnacentral:rRNA from 1 species
AGAGUUUGAUCCUGGCUCAGGAUGAACGCUGGCGGUAUGCUUAACACAUGCAAGUCGAACGAUGUUUUAGGACAUAGUGGCGGACGGGUGAGUAACGCGUAAGAAUCUACCUUCAGGUUUGGGACAACCACUGGAAACGGUGGCUAAUACCGAAUGUGCCGAGAGGUGAAAGGCUUGCUGCCUGAAGAAGAGCUUGCGUCUGAUUAGCUAGUUGGUGGGGUAAGAGCCUACCAAGGCGACGAUCAGUAGCUGGUCUGAGAGGAUGAUCAGCCACACUGGGACUGAGACACGGCCCAGACUCCUACGGGAGGCAGCAGUGGGGAAUUUUCCGCAAUGGGCGAAAGCCUGACGGAGCAAUACCGCGUGAGGGAGGAAGGCUCUUGGGUUGUAAACCUCUUUUCUCAGGGAAGAAGAAAAUGACGGUACCUGAGGAAUAAGCAUCGGCUAACUCCGUGCCAGCAGCCGCGGUAAUACGGAGGAUGCAAGCGUUAUCCGGAAUGAUUGGGCGUAAAGGGUCCGCAGGUGGUAGUGUAAGUCUGCUGUUAAAGAGUCACGCUCAACGUGAUCAAAGCAGUGGAAACUACACAACUAGAGUACGGUAGGGGCAGAAGGAAUUCCUGGUGUAGCGGUGAAAUGCGUAGAUAUCAGGAAGAACACCGGUGGCGAAAGCGUUCUGCUAGACCUGUACUGACACUGAGGGACGAAAGCUAGGGGAGCGAAUGGGAUUAGAUACCCCAGUAGUC